GCGAAUGUGGUCUAGUGGCUAUGACGUCUGCUUCACACGCAGAAGGUCGGGAGUUCGAUUCUCCCCAUUCGUA
rnacentral:tRNA from 1 species